CACCCAACACCAACAAGUACAAAGUUUAUUAUGUAUCCCAACCCCAAUCACUAAGAUUAUAGCACCUAAAAGAAUCACGUGAUAUGUCACCUACGUCACCACCCCCUAAUCUGUAUAGUUUCCGACACAAAGUUAUGCCUUUUGCGGCUAUCAUUGCUGCCAGGAGUGGGACGGAGAGCUCGAAUAGAGAUAAUGGCACAUAGUUCGCGGAUACAGAUAUAUCUAUUUACUUAUUUAUUUAUUUAUUGAGUUUUGCCGCAAUUGUUAAUUCACACACUUACAUGCAUAUAAAUAGCUAAGUAUACGUAUCUUAAAUUAAACACUAAGUUAUAUGCAAUCGCUAUAUCGCUAAUUACAACGGUCGCAAGUUGUAGUAAUCCUUUAUAUACACGGAUUUUAUGCAAAUAUUGCAUAUAUUCAAUUUAUAAUCAGAAUAAUAUCCGUUGCAAUUGGAAGUCUCCGAAUGACUUCAAUGAUAUAGGGAUUUCUAACUAAAACAAUCGUAAUUUAAACUCAUUUAAACCCAAACCCAAACAGUUGGCUGUUUUUGGAAACGUGGCAUUCUUUUGAAGAUGACUGUAAACAAAAGUCAAAACGUAGAGAAUUAAAAUGUCGUUGAACCUAGUAGUCGAUAUUUCACUGGAAAAGUUCCGUCCAAAGUACAGUGCAAUUCAUAGCGCGCUAUAUUUAAAAUAGCUUUGUUUGCGAUUAGCCGAAGAAUACAGCUUCGAUCUCUGGUUUCGAUUUAUAGCGUGGUUUAGCGUGAAAGAACGCGAAAAGGCAAGAAAUUUGCAUACACAGCCCAACAUCAUAGCUGUUUUAAACUUAGCGCGCUAGGAACUAGGAAGUGCACUGUACUUCCGUCGGACGUUUCCCAGUGAAAUAUCGACUGGGCCCCAGUUCACUUUGCGGUAUAAUCCAAGAUGACGGCCAAUGUGAAAUUUCAGGAUUUAGCCCCUACAUUAAAAGGAUAAUUUCCGCCAUCUUGUAACCACGCUUUUUAGAGACUGAGCCAUUGAAAUGAAUAUAACUGGAACGCUACCUCCAACCGGAAAUUUGAAGCCAAACUUGAAGGCCAGUCCCAGUCUUUUUACGCAUGCGAAGAGCGCUCAAUCUGUCAAUCAUGAUACAAACACGCGUGAUCUUACCUUUAGACACGCGUGUCUAGAGGUAAGAUUUGGCUUCAAGAAAAAGACAGGCAGUUUAUCUGAAGGUAGCGUUCCAGAAAUAUUCAUUUCAAUGGACCGAGCAAGCAGUCCAUGUCUCGCUGUUAAUGGGUUAUGGUCAGCAGUUUGGGUUAGGGUUAGGGUCAGCGUAAAUAUUAAUGAAAG